AAAUUGCAAUUCUAGUGAUGUUACGGCCUUGGGUACGGAUUCUGAUUCUCUAAGUACGAAGAAUUCCAAGAUUACUACUCAAUACUCUGGAUUUGUCAGCUACCAAAUGGUUUGUGAUGCAUACGACGGUAUAUUUUUUUCUUCAAUGCGGUAUAAAUUUAUCACACUGAGUUUCCCAAUCUGGUUCUUAUGGGGAAGAACUUUCUUUUUGUUCAAAUUUCUCCAGCACGUUUGUGGAUAUGGGGUGUUGCAUUAAUUCAUUGUUCCUUGGUAUGAUCUAGGAUGUAGGAUGGAUGUAACUAAUCAAUUGUUAUGUUUUCUCUGAACUAAUAAUGGACGUUUCAUGUCCUUUAAUUUGAAUAGAGCCGACCUUCUCUGUUAGUUCUAGAGUUUGAAUCAAUCUACCACUUGAUAUAUUUUUCUUUAAUAUUUAUUAAUCAAAUCCUAAGUUCUUCAAUUCUCCGGAAAAUAUUUGGGAUCUUAUUCAGCAAUAGGAGGUGAGAGAUUCCAACUCGUGAUGGGUAAUUUAAACCAAGUUGGGUCUUUUUUCUGUUGAGUUGUUCUUGUACCCAAAUAUGACGUUCAACAGAUGGAUGGAAAGCACUUUGCAUUGCUUCUCCGUUAAGUGUUAUUCUGGAAUUUGUAUUUAUUUAUUUUUCCAAUGAGCUGAACGCCUAUCAUCCUGUAUAUAAAAAGAACCUUUUUUCCCGAAAAUUCUACUCUUGCUGUCCUGCUUUCAAGUCUCAACUACUUUUAAAUUUUAUCCACUCUUUCCCUUAUUGGAACUUGAGUCCAUUUUCAUUCAUUUCUAGUAUUAUGGCCAAGGUGUGAGCAGGAUCAAUGUACUUAGUUAACAAGCUUUUAGAGUUUGUAAGCUACACGGAGGCUUUUGUUUGCCUUUGCCGUAUUCCUCGAAGUUCCACAGUAGCUAACUUUAUUGUUCUGGCUUGGUCCUCUUAAUACACGAGCAAUCUGUGCUAAAAAAUGCUAUUCAUACAUACCAAGUAUGAACAUCGCUUUAUUGAGCAUAUCACCCACUUUUCUGUCGCAUCUAGGUUAGAAUUAUAUGUGCCACAACAAAGUUAUAUGUGGCCGUUGGGUUUAUAAAAAUCACGAUUUUCUACAAUAGUAUGAUAUUGUCCAUUUUAAGCAUAAGUUCAUAUAGUUUUGCUUUUGGUAUUCUCACACGGCCUUAUACCAAUGAAGAUUGUAUUUCUCACUUAUAAAUUCAUAAUCAUUCCCUAAAUUAGCCAAUGUGGAAUUCUCUCCCAACAAUUCUCAAUAGGCACUUGACGGCAUCAAGGUAGACACAUUAAGGUUAAAAGUUCGAUUUAGGGGGAGAGGUGCAGAACUUGCAUGUUAGCCUCCAUUAACGGUAAAUCUGGACUCCGUUUCGUAAGCUAAAGGCUAAAAACUAAUUGUUAAUUAGGAAAGACAACUCUACAAAAAUCUGCUGUAAAUAUAACGUGGAAUCUUCUCUACUUGAGAUUCGAUAAUGUGCAUGCCAUGUUUUGAGGCAUGGGGCAAGGCCCCGGAUCAAGUGCAAAACAGACCGUACUUUUCAGGGUUAGGUUAAAAAAGCUGCCGUUUUCGAUUGAAUAAAUAGGAUUAAAGAAACACACUUCUUAGAAGUUAUUUUGUUCUUUUAGGUAAGAUAUGUAUGUGUUCUUUGGCCUAUAAACUCUAGUUUAUGUAUAUAAUAUGUUGCGCUUCUGCCCAUCAAGUUUAGAAAUUACU